UGAGUGGGUAAUACCCUCAUUAAUGAUAAUAUCUGAUGGAACAUCGUCCAUAAUCUGUAGAGAAGUGUGAGCAGAUGACGAACCUGCUAGUGUAGAAGCUAAAGUAGAUUUGGCAUCCGAAGAUGAAUGGCAGAAAAUAGUAGAGCUAUCCUUUUGAGAAGUAGCUACCCGAAGAGACAAAAAACCUGCUGAUGGAGAUAAAGUCGACUGAGAGUUGGAGCAUGUGGCUAUUGUUACCGAAGAGUGUGUGGGGCAGCUUGGCGGCAUUAAAUGAUCAUUUGGCUCAACACCAGCUUGUGUUUCCGUUUCUGAGUUUUCAACUUGUACCAUCUUUUCAUCUGAUACAA
rnacentral:lncRNA from 1 species